GUUGCUUCCCGACUGGAAGAAUGGCCUGAUUUUUCUGUUGUCUGGUCAUUCUGUAGAGGGAAGCAUAGAUUGAACAAGAAGCCAGAAUUAAACAGCAUGAUGCUUAUUUCACUGCAUCCGUGUUACCUGUCUCCUGGCACAAUC
rnacentral:snoRNA from 1 species